rnacentral:rRNA from 1 species
ACAGGUGCUGCAUGGCUGUCGUCAGCUCGUGUCGUGAGAUGUUCGGUUAAGUCCGCUAACGAGCGCAACCCUCGCUGUGUGUUAUAUGUGUCACACGGGACUGCCGGUCUUAAGCCGGAGGAAGGUGGGGAUGAUGUCAAGUCAGCAUGGCCUUUAUAUCCUGGGCUACACACACGCUACAAUGGCCAACACAAUAGGUUGCUAAGCCGCGAGGUGGCGCCAAUCCAUAAAGUUGGUCUCAGUUCAGAUUGUAGGCUGCAACCCGCCUGCAUGAAGAUGGAGUUGCUAGUAACCGCAGGUCAGCUAUACUGCGGUGAAUACGUUCCCGGGGUUU